GUAUCAUGGCUCAGGAUGAACGCUGGCGGCGUGCUUAACACAUGCAAGUCGAACGGAACGCCAAGGAAAGAGUUUUCGGACAAUGGAAUUGGUUGUUUAGUGGCGGACGGGUGAGUAACGCGUGAGUAACCUGCCUUGGAGUGGGGAAUAACACAGUGAAAACUGUGCUAAUACCGCAUGAUAUAUUGGUGUCGCAUGGCACUGAUAUCAAAGNUUUAUCGCU
rnacentral:rRNA from 1 species